UGAAUUUUCUGUGUGACGCGAGCAGCAGUCCACCAGAGAAGCAUGGGUGCUUUCUUUCUCCACACACAUUAUUGAUUGGCGGUCUCUGGAGGAGGAACCAACAGCGUUCCAACAGCCCAGAGACACAAACAAAUAACUCGCCGGAGUAACACACUUUCCCCCCUCCGAGAUAAAGCAAGGACCGGCAACAAAAAUCUGCAGAUAAUUUUUGGCACAUUGCGUUAAAAAACAACAACCGUAUCGCGCUCGCGUCUUCGCGUUUGUAAAGCAGUGGGAAAGCGUGCAGUGCAAAAGUCCGCGUGUGCUGCGCUGCAGCGAGAGCCUGUGACCAUGAGCAGUGCCACAGCGCCCACUAUUUCAGCACACGGGAAUAUUAUUUCACAAGACUUGGAACGGCUCAAUAAAAGUUGCUAUUCCUUCGACAACUUUUUUUCCCCUCCUUUGACUUUCGGAAAUGAAUCUGCGCUUUUAUACAAACUCCCCGACCGAAACAGAAAACAACAAAUUACAAGCUCGUGCUCGCUUUUUGCAAUGGCAAUGCUUUUUUUUCUCCUGCAUCCAUAUAGUUUCUACUAAAAACAGCCUCGGUGUUUUACAUCACACGCGAAACUUGUUGGCGCUGGGAACCAGCGAAGCCCGGACUGCAGCACGCAGCGAAAAGAAGCGCAGGCACCGGGUCUGGGACUCAUUCUAGCGACACUGUUCCCGGGAAGAGUAAAAAGUUAUCUCACUGGACGAACAAUCUACCCCCUGAGGAUAUGACAAAUGAUAAGUAUAUGUUGGUGAUGUGCCCGGGAGUUGGAGCCGGCGGCUGAAAGCGUAAUAAGGGAAAAAGAAGACCUACUUUUGGCCAGUUUUCUCGCCCUCGCCUUGGAUCUCAUCUUGUCGGCUUGUAGAUUCCUCUCGUCGUCCUCCGUGAGCCCAGAAGCAGCAACAACACUAUCUUCAUCUCACGAGCAUUGUCAGUUUGGACACCUUCGCACAUGCGCACAGGCCAUUCAAUCUGACACCCUCGUUGGGGCCAAAAAACUUUCCAAUGUAUUCAUCAUCAUCACUUUUUGUCCUAUCGUCUCCCCUUUAGAUCACUUAUCUCUUUCCCUCCUCCUCCUCCUCCUCCUCCUCCUCCUCCCUCUCUCUCCACACCAUCUCACCCUCCUCCCCCUCCCCUUACCCCCGUCCCCAAUUCAACCACCGCCAUUGCCACAGCCAGCACCUCCGUCUUGGAUUUUACCCCUUUAAGAGGGACACGACUUGGUGCAGCACCCUGCGGGGUCCGGUCCGGCCGGGGACACCACCAGGACAAGCACGGACCAGCAGCCGCUGACGGAGCAGCACAGAGCAGACCAGAGCCACCAAAGGACCCGGCCGGGCUGCUUCUCGCCUAUUAAAACAGUGGUAACAACAGCAACAGCAGCAGCCAUGUAUUUUAUCACUGCCAUCCAUUGACACAAUUGGUUGGUUUGACGUUGGAGUGAUAUAACAGGUAUACAUCCCUUUUUCAAGACGAAUAGAUGUUGCUUUUCUAAUGUAUUAACCACCACUGCAGUGCACCUGUUUGUGUGGGCACGCACGCCGUGAGUGCGUGAGAGCAGGCUGGUCAUAUGGAGCAGUGAGCCGUUGCAGUUAUGGAUAUGUCAAAUUAAGGCCUGCUUUCCUUCAACUGGUUUUAGUGGUACAAUUAUUUGUGUUAGCUUUUCUGAUUGUCUUAAAUACCACAUAUUCUCCUUUAAAUUGGUUUUCCUACGGAGAAGGCAAUUUGGGCUUUUUAUAAUGUUAUCUAAAUAUAAACAAUCGUUGCACGCAGUAUUUAUUUAUUAUGGUUACAAAAAAGUGUAGCCCAUAUUAUUUGAUAAAAAUAUUACUUUAAAAAGAAAUGAAAUAACAACUGUAUUAUAAGGCAAUUCUUUUUUGCAUUAGUGUUAUUUGUAUUAGUAUUGAUAUGUUUGUUUUAUUAUUAAAUGUUUGAAUAAUA